AUGCGCCUGGAGCAGGCUGGGGACACAGCUACAGCCCUGGCGCUCUCCCACCACGCCGUGUCUAAACUAAGAUUUUCCAUGCAUGAGGGCAGUGCUAACACUCAUAGCAGGACAAUGGCUGCUGACGCCAAGCUGCAAAAAUGCAUGAGGAGAGCGCGGGGCCUUCAGCAGCGCAUGCAGCAACAGCAAGAACAGCCGCAGGAGCCCAGCCGCCCACAGGGGCCCAUCAGUGAACAGCCUGGCCCGGUCCAAGUAUUGUUGACAGACAAUCAGGAAGAGGUCUGGGAGACCAAUCCGGAUUCAGUGCUUGGCCCACCCUCUCCUCAACACAUGAAUUCACCCUCCUCUUGUACAAACUCCCCAUCUCAGCUCUCUAACCGCCCAUCGCUCAAUCCAGGAUCUUCCCAGCCACAUCCACAAGAGUCUGAGGUAUGCAGCAAUUGGUCAAAACAGAAGGAGGAGGAAUGGGGUGGCAUCAGAUUAUCAGACGUUCUCCAAGCAUCAGGCAUUCGGGUCAUGCCCAUACGGAAACACUUGGCCAUAUCUCUACCCUCUUUGCCCCUCGACUUCUGGGGUGUAUUGGGAGAGGACGAAGAGCACCCUCAAGCAUCGAUCCCUCAAAAUCCAAAUCCUCCUUUGUGGCAGGACAUUGCAGAUAGUCCAGAGAAGGUACGCCAAUCCAACACGUCUACCAGUCCAACACCUGCUACAAAUGAGGAAAAGGGGUCAAUGCCCCGACGAGUCCCUAUAUGGCAGCCUCUAUGUACAUCUUCCCAUCCGUGCAACAAACUGAGCCCGCCUGUUGCUGCCCGUCAUUGGUCCUCUUGGAGUCUUGACCGUCCUGAUGCUGUCAUCACUCCCUAUGACACACCUCCUGAACAGAACCUACGGGCAGGAAGUGUCCUCUCCCAACACACAUCUGGAAGACACCUUCCUCCUCGCAGUCCCAUGAGCACCAGGAAGAAGAAUAUCUCUAAGCACUCGAGCUUCCAAAGCAUUGAUCUGGAGCCCACUGAGGCUGAGGACCAGGAGCUCUCUGAACUGGACUCACUCUACCAGGCCAGUCUCCAGGCUGGCCCGGCUCCUGGUCGAGCCUUGCGUGGUACCAGCUCACCUGCUGUUGGGAGAUCAGUACCUCCUGCUGCUCGAAAACUGCUCACUGGAGUCGGACGCUCUCGAACCCCUACGGCUGAACUCGAGAGAACCGCUUAUGGACCCCCAGGUUGUUACAGCCCUACUGGUUACAUGAACAUGGUAAGAAAUGAGACACUACACUGCUGUUGUUACUGUUGUACUUACUGCAUCAGUGGUUUAACAUUUAAUAUAUGUUGCUUAGACCAGUGGUUUUCAAAGUGGGGGGUUGCUUGGUGAUUUCCAAAAAUCUCAUAUAUGUUAGAUUAUUAGAAUUACCAUAUUUUCCAUAACCUACAGAAGAAAAAAAUAGUAUUUAGUAGUUACAUAAAAAAUAACAACAUGAAAAUAAGCCAUCAGCCUUUCAGUUUUUUUCCAUUGAAUUGUGUUAUUACGCUAGAUUAAAGACAGCAAUAGUGUUAGUUGCAGGAGAUUGAUUGUAUGGCACUAUACUAAACUUUGACAUCUUGACGGCACUCGUACUCAUGAAAAAUAAAGGCCACGAUUGAACAUGGAGGAUGAUCUUCAGGUGGUGGUCUCUAAAAUUAAACUAAGAAUAGUCUUAUGCUGCAAUCAUUGUGCCCACC
ensembl:lincRNA